CUGGUCUAAUUAGCAUACACAGCUGAAAUUUAGGGACCUGGGAUGAAGAAAAAAGAGAGGGAGACAUCCACUUAAAUCUCUUUGUCAGGCAGCGGCAUAGGAAGUUGUAAAGACUUGCAGUGCAGAGGUUGUUUCUGUUUGCCUUGCUUGAGGGGGGGCAGUGUAAGGAAAAGGAGCUGCUGUAAAUGCUAGUUGUUUUCAUGCCUUUGAAAUCUGCUAAGUCAGCUUUCCUAAGAAGUGGGAGUGUAGUACUAGUGGUGCCAUUUCCUAUGUUUUAAACUAUGCAGCUGUAGAGCCUAGGAUGGGGAAUAUCUAACUCUCAGCUUUCUUCAGCCCAAGGUGGAAAUGUUCUCCCAUUUCCAAGACCAGCAGAGCACCCUGUAUCCUACAUGAGAGCACCCACCUCUUCUUUUCAAGCCAAGCCAUGAAAACAAAGGAGAACCGAGCAGCAGCCAGAGACACCCCAAAGUGAUACAGCUGUACCAGCAACGGGGAACUCACCCCUGGUGAUACCAGGAGAAAUCCCAACUCAUCUCCAGGACACUGAAGCAGAGUGUAGGAGCCUGUAGUCCUCCACUGGGGUUGCUUUGGGAGAGGCUGACCCAGCUGGACUGCAGUGGUAGGGACUGCAGCAAAGAGCCUGAGCAACAUUCAAGGUGUGGGUGAUGCAUCUGCCGGGCAGCCGCCCCCUACGAGCGGAGGGUUCAGUAGGUGGCACUGUUCGCUCUGCGUUCCGGAUCAGGCCCUGAAAGCUGCUGCCUGCCACUCAAUAUAUUACAUCAACCAGUUAUUGCUGCCUACCCCAGAGAUGGCUGAAGUCCUGCAGUGGAAAAGAGGAAUGUGCUAUACAUGGACUUCUAAUGGAAUUAGAGUAUCUGCAUCCUGCCCACAUGGACUAAAGCAUUGGAUCGGGGCCUAUCAUUUACAGUGACGAUGCAGUCCUGUGAGGCAGACCACGUGGGACUCCCUGUUAAGACACAGUCAAGAGAUGACAUCAGUCUUUGUAGGAUCAUAGGAAAUAGCAUCACAGGUGAAGGCACAAAGUACUGAAGUUUCAGAAGAACAAACAACACAGAAUCUUUGUAUCAAUCCAGUAAAAAAAAGCAACCCAAAAAACAACCUCACCACUUUGGGAAGGAUCUCCUCAAAAGAAAGCUGAUGAGUUGACUGGCAUCAGAGACUGUCCAAACCAAGGAGUCAGAUGGAAAGGACCACGAGGGAAAUUGGGCUGCAUACCCAAGAGAAGGCUUUGAAACAAUGCAAUCCCAUUUUCACAACGUCCAGCAUGGAGAUGUGAUGUCCAAAUCUCCAGUACCACUGUGCUUGCACAGGCAGAGCCUUGCCAGCUUUUCAGUCAGGCUGAGGCUGAAUUUGCCACAAGAGCAAGUCCUAGGAUGUGCAUUCAAGACGAGGAACAGGACCUUGUCCCACAGAGAACUUUUCCACCAAGCAAGCCCAGGGUGUCAGACUAGGAGCCUGUUUCUGUUUUCUGCAUUACAUUCAGCUCAAUCAAUCAUUCAAUGGCUUCCAUCCUUAUUUUUCCUCUGUCCUUUCCAGUCAGACUUUGUUCUCUUCAGACUGGUGGUGGGUUUGUGCCUGGUACAGAGGGUGCUCACCUGAGCCAGGGACAUGAUGGUUGCUGUCAUGCUAAUCAUAAUUUUCCUCAGAAAGGAAAUAGCAAAUGCCUUUGUGUCUUGUUCUCCUGCCCUUGUGCUCCCAGACCACUGCUCUGAGGACAGGACACUUCCCCUCUGCCUCCUUUUGCUCUGAUUUGCCUUGCCUUCCCCAAGCCCUACUGCUAACUGCACUCUCACUGAUUAUUUUCUUUUCAGAGGCUGUAAACUUCAGUUCCUGCUCAGCUUGCAUUAGUGUCAGAGAAGUAUCUCUUGGCUGUUUACAGAAGAGAAAAUGGAAAGAUGAGCAUUAUUUCAUGUGAAAUAUGGUAGAGAGCCUAUGCUGAGUUUCUCUGUGAGGCCUGAGGCUCCAGCUACCUGAAGAAGCUGGUGAAAGCAUCCGUCAUCUGGUGAUUCAUCUCCCCUUGCCAUGGCUCUGGCCCUGCUCUGCGUGGGUGUCUCACAGCUCUCAUCAACUCUGGUUUUGAUGCAGACCAGGAGCUGCUGGGCUGUUCGCCCAAGUUUAUCUUGUAUGAAAGAGUUUGCUUGCUUUUCAAUUGUCUGGUGUUCUCCUGAAGAUGUAAAUUAAAAAAAAUAAAAAAAAAAAUAAAAAAAACAGGUUUUCUUGUAGAUUGCUUUUCAGCUGUUUCUACUAGGAGUGAGAAAAUGGGGAUUGGUGCUCAAGGGAUGUCUCUGGUGCGAGGUCAUACCAGUCCAAUCCCUUCUUGGAAAGAG
ensembl:lncRNA